AAGUUUAGCGGCAGACGGGUGCGUAACACGUUGAUACCUGCCCUGAAGUGAGGAAUAGCCCAUUGAAAGAUGGGGUAAUACCGCAUAUGUCCGUAAGGAUAAAGCAGCAAUGCGCUUCAGGAGGGGUCUGCGGCCUAUCAGCUAGUUGGCGGGGUAAUAGCCCACCAAGGCAAUGACGGGUAGCUGGUCUUAAUAGGAUGUCCAGCCACAAUGGAACUGAGACACGGUCCAUACUCCUACGGGAGGCAGCAGUGAGGAAUCUUCCGCAAUGGGCGAAAGCCUGACGGAGCGACACCGCGUGAAGGAUGAAGCUUUUAUUGAGUGUAAACUUCUUUUCUGUGGGAAGAUAAUGACGGUACCACAGGAAUAAGGGGCGGCAAACUUCGUGCCAGCAGCCGCGGUAAUACGAAGGCCCCAAGCGUUAUCCGGAAUUACUAGGCGUAAAGCGUCUGUAGGUGGAGUGGAAAGUUUGGUAUGAAAUGUCAGGGCUCAACCCUCGACGCAGUAUCGAAAACUUCCACCCUUGAGUGAGGGAGAGGUAAGCGGAAUGGUAUGAGUAGGAGUGCAAUCCGUUGAUACAUACUGGAACACCAAAAGCGAAGGCAGCUUACUGGAACUCUACUGACACUGAGAGACGAAAGCGUGGGGAGCGAAAGGGAUUAGAUACCCCUGUAGUCCACGCCCUAAACGAUGGAUGCUAAGUGUCG
rnacentral:rRNA from 1 species